rnacentral:rRNA from 1 species
AAAUUGAAGAGUUUGAUCAUGGCUCAGAUUGAACGCUGGCGGCAGGCCUAACACAUGCAAGUCGAACGGUAACAGAAAGCAGCUUGCUGCUUUGCUGACGAGUGGCGGACGGGUGAGUAAUGUCUGGGAAACUGCCCGAUGGAGGGGGAUAACUACUGGAAACGGUAGCUAAUACCGCAUAACGUC